rnacentral:lncRNA from 1 species
ACUCCAUACUGAACCUUUAUCAGUAAGAGUUCAUCCGGAGUCAGAGAACAGGGAAUGGCGUCCGACGCAAAAAUUGGACGAGGCCCAGCCCUAGAUGUGGGUUCGUCUACAGUAUGAGGGCUCUGGAGGACUGAGGCAGACGAGCUCUUGGAACCGCUAGAGGCAGAGGUGCCAGAAGAUAUUUCAAGCAAGAACCCUAAAAAUCCUGGAG